rnacentral:rRNA from 1 species
CUACCUAUAAGACUGGGAUAACUUCGGGAAACCGGAGCUAAUACCGGAUAAUAUUUUGAACCGCAUGGUUCAAAAGUGAAAGACGGUCUUGCUGUCACUUAUAGAUGGAUCCGCGCUGCAUUAGCUAGUUGGUAAGGUAACGGCUUACCAAGGCAACGAUGCAUAGCCGACCUGAGAGGGUGAUCGGCCACACUGGAACUGAGACACGGUCCAGACUCCUACGGGAGGCAGCAGUAGGGAAUCUUCCGCAAUGGGCGAAAGCCUGACGGAGCAACGCCGCGUGAGUGAUGAAGGUCUUCGGAUCGUAAAACUCUGUUAUUAGGGAAGAACAUAUGUGUAAGUAACUGUGCACAUCUUGACGGUACCUAAUCAGAAAGCCACGGCUAACUACGUGCCAGCAGCCGCGGUAAUACGUAGGUGGCAAGCGUUAUCCGGAAUUAUUGGGCGUAAAGCGCGCGUAGGCGGUUUUUUAAGUCUGAUGUGAAAGCCCACGGCUCAACCGUGGAGGGUCAUUGGAAACUGGAAAACUUGAGUGCAGAAGAGGAAAGUGGAAUUCCAUGUGUAGCGGUGAAAUGCGCAGAGAUAUGGAGGAACACCAGUGGCGAAGGCGACUUUCUGGUCUGUAACUGACGCUGAUGUGCGAAAGCGUGGGGAUCAAACAGGAUUAGAUACCCUGGUAGUCCACGCCGUAAACGAUGAGUGCUAAGUGUUAGGGGGUUUCCGCCCCUUAGUGCUGCAGCUAACGCAUUAAGCACUCCGCCUGGGGAGUACGACCGCAAGGUUGAAACUCAAAGGAAUUGACGGGGACCCGCACAAGCGGUGGAGCAUGUGGUUUAAUUCGAAGCAACGCGAAGAACCUUACCAAAUCUUGACAUCCUUUGACAACUCUAGAGAUAGAGCCUUCCCCUUCGGGGGACAAAGUGACAGGUGGUGCAUGGUUGUCGUCAGCUCGUGUCGUGAGAUGUUGGGUUAAGUCCCGCAACGAGCGCAACCCUUAAGCUUAGUUGCCAUCAUUAAGUUGGGCACUCUAAGUUGACUGCCGGUGACAAACCGGAGGAAGGUGGGGAUGACGUCAAAUCAUCAUGCCCCUUAUGAUUUGGGCUACACACGUGCUACAAUGGACAAUACAAAGGGCAGCGAAACCGCGAGGUCAAGCAAAUCCCAUAAAGUUGUUCUCAGUUCGGAUUGUAGUCUGCAACUCGACUACAUGAAGCUGGAAUCGCUAGUAAUCGUAGAUCAGCAUGCUACGGUGAAUACGUUCCCGGGUCUUGUACACACCGCCCGUCACACCACGAGAGUUUGUAACACCCGAAGCCGG